AGGGCUGCAUGGAUCCUCCAGUUUGUCUGGAAGCUAGUUUGGCAUGUUGAAAUGGGUAUUAAUUUGGCCCAAAGUGGUUUGAAUCUCACCUGUUUUGAUUUCUCCCAAGAUCUGAAUCAACAUGAACAUCUGGCUUGCUAACCUCCUGUUGGCUUGCAUUGAGCAAACUGCUGUAACUUUCCUAUUUUGCACUGACAAAUAUGAAAUCUGGGGAUAUGACAGCAGCCACAUAGAGAAGGCCGGACAUUGCUGUACUCAAUGGGAGGAAGGCUCUGUAAUUAAGAAGAUCCCUUGCUGUUUACAAAAACACUUAUGAAUACACAGAUGGCCCAGAGUGUCCAUCAACAAUGUCCAUUGCUAUCGGAACUGCAACACCACUGAAGCAGGCUGUCCCACAGUACACAUGAACACAUCUCUUUAUGCAAUGGCCUAGGACUUACUUUGGGGAAAGGUCAUUAAGCAGAGUAUUGAUGAACCUAUUACAUUCACGAAAGAUACAGUAACAGAGUAUCAUCCAACAUAAUCUCAACAAGAAAAUUCAUUUUAAAAUGAAAAAUUCACCUCAGGUAAGAUCACAUCCAGUAAAAUCUCAGUACAUAGUCAUCAAAAGUAAGUCACAUACUAAGUAAAUUUCUCCCUAGGUUUGGCUCCAAGCCCUCAAUUAGUCUAUGAGCUGCUAGUGAGAGUUACAUCAGGUAAGUUUCAUGGUUAAGGAACUGUAGCACAGAGUACUGGAAGCAAAGAGGAUCAGAGAUUCAGUAACUGCCAAUGAGCUUCAGCUAGCUGGAACUUCUCCCUCAUUGAACAUAACAAGGAGAUGUUGCUGCAGCAAAGGAAAUUUAAGCUACCCAAAGUAUUACAAGAGCAAGUAAGGCUUGUGCUGCAUUAGGCCCGCUUCCUUGAAGGAACUGGAUCUUCUUUGAAGGGCCUAGCUUACUUUUUUUUAUUUGUUUGUUUUACCCUUUGUCUCUUGUAAAGUUGAAGAGAUGAAGGUUUGACUAGAGGCUUCUUAUCUUCUGAAUUCAAGGUGAGGCCACAUC